rnacentral:rRNA from 1 species
AUUGAACGCUGGCGGCAUGCCUUACACAUGCAAGUCGAACGGUAACGCGGGGCAACCUGGCGACGAGUGGCGAACGGGUGAGUAAAGCAUCGGAACGUGCCCAGUAGUGGGGGAUAGCCCGGCGAAAGCCGGAUUAAUACCGCAUACGACCUAUGGGUGAAAGGGGGGGAUCGCAAGACCUCUCGCUAUUGGAGCGGCCGAUGUCAGAUUAGGUAGUUGGUGGGGUAAAGGCCUACCAAGCCGACGAUCUGUAGCUGGUCUGAGCGGACGUCCAGCCACACUGGGCCUGGGACACGGCCAAGACUCCUACGGGAGGCAGCGGUGGGGAAUUGUGGACAAUGGGCGCAAGCCUGAUCCAGCCAUGCCGCGUGCGGGAAGAAGGCCUUCGGGUUGUAAACCGCUUUUGUCAGGGAAGAAAUCCUUUGGGUUAAUACCUCGGGGGGAUGACGGUACCUGAAGAAUAAGCACCGGCUAACUACGUGCCAGCCGCCGCCGUAA